rnacentral:rRNA from 2 species
CAACUGCAAGUGGUGGAUCACUCGGCUCGUG